GCUUUUUAUAUGACUGGGCUCUGUCUCCUUUCUCACAAUUUAAUACAAAAUUUCAGUCUCCAUCAGGGACUUCAAACCCAUUUGACUGGCCACUGGGUAGGAAAGUCCCCAUCAGGCCAAAGAACCCCUGCAUCCUGCAUACGACUCGUCUCUGCGAAAGGCUGUUCAAGCAGAAGAGUGACUUUGAUAUCACAGACCCCAAUGGCUACCGGCUGACGUCAUUUCCAUACAACUGCCUGCAUGACCCCAACCUGAAAACAUAUAUGCACCGCAAAGAUGUACACAGCCUCCUCAUCACCCAUGGGUUCAUUACAGAAGAUGAUAAAGUCAUUUGCUCAGCAAAAGAGUUCAACAAGUACAAAGAUUACCUCUCAGAUGUGCAGUUGAGUUGGGAUCAAAAGUUUAAGAUGGAGCAGAAAAAAAUAGUACGUGCAUUCCUGGUUCUGCAAGAUCAGGGAAAGAUCCCAGCAGAUACAACCAUAGCUGACCUGGUAGAGAGGCUGCUUCAGAGAGAACAAAGUCUCUUUAUACAACCACAGGGGGCUCCUAGGGACAGGGUCCAGUCAAGUGCGUGGAGGGAGAAGGAUUGUUUGGUUUUGAAGCUUCCAAAGAUCAAGAAAAUAAAUAACCUGACAUCCUCUUUUUGUGAAGAUCACAUGACGUGGAAAGUGAAGGAAAGAAAGAUGCUGGAGGAGAUGGUGAAGGAGGUGCGGCGGGAGCUGCACCUGGAGCGACAAAGAAAAGCGCACCAGCAGAUGAGGGAUAAACAGAAACAAGAGUUGGAGAACAUGAUUUUGGUCUCUCAAGAGGAGAAGCUAAAAAUGCUUAUUGAAGCCAAAAGAAAGAUUAGAGGUGGCCUGGCUGAUGUUGUCAAGCUGUCCAGGCACUCAUUGACCAGGAUUGGAAGUAUGCACUCAGCAUCACUGCAGCAAAGACCUUCCCCCCACAAACUCAGGCCACUGCCCAAGACGAAUAUAACUUGGCCCUCUGAAGAUGUCACAGUGACUGCGAAAUCGACACCGAGCGUUUUCAGUCACACCACUUACCCGGUCAGGAAAACAGUCUGGACACGGAUCAGUCCCACACGUAGCCAUCAGCGCUACUACAUGCACCAACUGGAUGUGAUAGUAGAGAAGCUGGUAGAGGAGAUCUUGGAGCAUCACUUCCCUCUUUAUUUAAAUGGGAUGAAGUAGGAAGUGCAGGCGGGACAUUAAAAAGGAAGAAGUGAGCUUGCAAGAGGAUGGAAAAGUGGCACAGGAGAGGGUUGCAUUUAAUGGAAAGCUUCCAAGAACCUAGCACAUGCCAACUCUUAAGUUAAUGAAGACACCUUGUGAUUCAACAUGAGGAGUACCAUAUGGGGACCUCAUCACAGAUUGAGGACUGAGAGGACACAGGAGAGAGAAACCAAGGAGAAGGAAGUGCAUCUCCUAGCAAAUUUGUACUGCCUUGUUGUUGAUGUUAGGUGUCAUCGAGUCAACGCUGACUGCUGGUGACCACAUAUACAGUAUCUCCAGAAUGUUCUUCUUGUGACUUCUUGUGUCCUUAGGCUUGAAAGGGUCAACUGCACUUAAAACCUGAGUUCAUCCAUUUUGGUGCUGCUAAUCCUCUUCUUUUCCUCCUACUUGUUCAAGCGUUACCAUGUUCUCAAGAGAAUGCUGUCUUUGCAUGAUGUGGCCAAAGUAUGACAACCUUAGUCUUAAUAUUUAUGCUUAGAGUGAGCGCUCUGGCUUGACCUGGUCCAAGAUCCAUCUGUACCCUUAUAUAAUGAAAAACUGCUACCACUGACAUUACAUUAUAUACCCUUUUUCAUGCAAUGGGUUUAUUAUUCAGUGCAACAACAUUUUUGCCCUAGAUAUGCAGUCACUGUUUCCACAGUGGUUUAGUCACUGUUUUCAAUGUCUCACACUGUAGGGCAUGUGGACACUAUGCUUCUUACAUUAAACAAUUACUGUAUAUAAUUACUUCUUCCUAUCACAUUGACUGUCUCGAACAGUCACCACAUUGAUUAUGAGGCUGGAAGAGAAACAGACCCUAAACAAACUCAAACAUCAUGGACAGUUAAAUCUGAGGCUUUUCCUCUUCAGUAGAACCCAAGUAUAGCUUCUUUUUGGAAUCUGUUGGCUUUGGUUUGCACCCUCAUUGAUUUGUGUUCUGUUGAUAACACAAUCUAAUCAGAUUCAGUGGCUUUUUCUC
ensembl:lncRNA